UUAUGACGUAUGUCUUGUGACGUAAUUUCUCCGAUUAAAUAUUCCCGUUUUAGUUAAAUUCUCUGGAUGUUAAGGACAUGUAGGACGUGGUGUGUUUUAAGUUAUAUAUUUGUUUAGAGCAUCGAACGAAUGCUAAACGUAUUUCGGAUAUUGUGUUUAGCAUACAUAAUUGUAAACUUCGAUAGGAUUACACUACAAUAGUGUGAUUUAAAAGGCAGUGCAGUGGGUCUCUGGGGUGAUUGAGUAUUCUUCGCAGUAUGGAAGCUACAAUUAAGUAUCGGCAGUUUGAAUAUUCCUUCACUCGAGCAAUUGUGUGCAAGACGUAGAAGUUAUUUGUAUGGCUUCUAUGGCGACAGGGCAUUUAAAUGAAACUAUCAUUGGGACCAAGUGUGCUCUAUAUCUGAACAUAUUGUAAACACAUACUAUAAGAAUAUGUUCUUUCAUAUAUUAUUUAUAAAUAAUAUAACCCGUCUUGAAUAUAGCAGUUUACACAAUUAUGAAUAUUUAAGUGCAUGUUAUUUGAAAUAUCAUAUUGUUGUGUUUGUUAUUUGUUGAUGCAUGCUAUUUAUGCUGAAACAAUAUUUAAGCACAAUAUUCGCUUCAAAAUGGUAAGGUGCCAUGUCCGACUUUGCGUUUUUAUUAUUUACGAAUAACAUCCUCGUCAGAGCGGAACCCUUCGUCCGUUUUUAUAAUCACCCCUUCCCAAAACAGUUUUGUUAUAUGGGCCUCGCUCUUGGAAAAGGGGCUUAAUAUAUGUGCGUCAAUAGUCUUCUCGGAUUAGCCUGUGAAGUCCGCAAUGGGUAAUAGAGUACGACACUGUCCGCUGUUAUGGAACAUGCGUUUUAAUGAGGUCUCUUUUGUACACAAAAUGAGGUCUUUGCGGAAAGUUUCCUCCCUUAUAAGCAAGUGAGGAAUGCACAAGCUAAUCUUGGAGGACAAGUUCGCGCGUAUUUUUUUCCAAGAACGCGGCUCAUCAGGUGUAAUUCGUUUUUCAGGUGGAGUGCGGAGCAAACACUGGGUGUUCCAGAUGUGUACCCUGGAUACGCGGAUGACAAAAGGGCAUGGGCCCCAGAUGUCAUCGACGCAAACCAGUACUUAAUGUUGAAGUUCGCCACCCCCGUCUACGUAACAAAAGUCGACGUCUACGAGACUUUCAAUGCUGGCGGUGUCAAGGAAAUUUGGUGCUUCGAUUUCCAAGAAGAAAUUUUUCCCAACGGAACAAUGGCCGUUAACAGGAGGUGGAUAAGGCUAUGGUCGACGAACCAAGUAUCCGUUAUUAAGUCUGCGAGGAUUUUUAGUGUAUCGUUUAAGUCUACAAUUCGUUAUUUCUCGGACACCAUUCGGCUGGUUAUCGACUGCACCGCUGCAAACACCUGGGUGGAGAUAGACGCUGUGAGGCUGAAAGGCUUACAGAAGUCGUGGAGUCGUCUUGCAAAACGUGAGCAUGUGAAUGAAGUGCUAGAAGAUGAGGAGGACAAGGCCGUUACAGCCGUUGAGUCCGCACCAGCAAAGAUGAGCAUCAAGCAGCUACUCGCGCACGUUAGGAAAUAGAUUGGAAAUCCGACUACGCAACCCCUACGACGACAACGGCAACUUGAAAAGUGAAGUUAUAAAAAAGAACAUGCUAAUGAUAUAAUCCAUCUUCAACAAACAUCUUGUACACAAGCUUUGUGUCUGGUGUUGUGUUAAUGCCCCCGGUAGGGUGGCAUUAAGCAGUUGAACUGUCCGUCAGUCUGUCAGUCUGUACGUCCGUCCGAAAACUUUUACAUUGGCCAUAACUUUUGCAAUAAUGAAGAUAGCAACUUGGUAUUUGGCCCUCAUGUGUAUCUCAUGAAGCUGCACAGUGUGAGUGGUGAACGGUUAAGGUCAAGAUCAACUUUCGAGGUCAAAAGUCAAAAAAUACAAUUCAAGGGAAGUCAUAAGCCUUAAAAGGGGGAUAAUUUCUAAACCUGCCCAAUGAUAUAUUUUAAAAGUUUAUUUAAAAGCGGCGCAAUCGCUUCUCACCAAGGCGACCCGGGUUUGAUCCCCGUUCCCGGCGCAUGUGAAUUUGGUUGGUGGUCACCAUACAAGACUGGUGGGGUUUCCUCCGGGUAAUCCGGUUUCCCCCCCCCCCCCCCACAGCACAAGACAACCUCAAAAUUAAACAUAUUUCAGUAAACAAUAAAUAGCUAGAAAUUGCAGCUAUCAUUCAAAAUUCGUCCCAACUUUCGGGAGUCUAACAUCUGAUUAGGAAGGAGUGCUGGGACACACUCCGGGUCCUCACCUAAUGCAGCCUCUGGCGCGGACGGACCUCAUAAACAUUGAAAUACACACACGGAGGCAUUGGUUUCUGACAAACUCAUCUCUUGUUUAUAAAUAAAAGUGCAUUUGUAUACCUGUUUGUGUUCUAUUAUUUACCUUUUAAAUGUUUGAGAUAUAUUGGCGAACGUUUGAGAAAGUUCAUAGUGUUUUGAUUCACAGUGUUUCAAACAACCUGGCAUGGCCGUUAAAAAUUAGUAUUAAAUUGUUCAACGAAAAAGA